CACAAGGUUAGGUUGUUUUCUUAUUAAUUAAAUGGCAAGCCUUACAUUUGGGCAUAUGAAGAUAAGGAAUAAACAUGCUUCAGAUGUGUGGGCCUACAGGCAUUGGAUUCUUGUAGAUUGAUCUAUUGUUUGCAAUGCCUCCAUUCUUAGAUGGUGGAGAUUUCUUGACCAUUCCACAUUUGCACAACCUCGUUCCAGAUUUGAAGCUGGGACGCCUACAAUUGGAGAAGCAAUUGGUUUGGGGAGCUGCUAUUGAUUAUUUAUCUAGGAUCGAAAUGCAAAAAAUUCAUAGUUACGAAGUGAGUUGAUUGAAAUUUGGUAUAUACCCUUUGUUUGAGAAUUUUUGGGCGGUGAAAAAUGCGUGAAGCAACUAAAUCAGGGUAUCAACUAAAUAAAUACCUUCAUAGUAAGUUAGUAAUAGAAUUUUUUUCUUUAAUCAAGGAAUUUAUGUAUU